rnacentral:rRNA from 1 species
UACGUAGGGGGCUAGCGUUGUCCGGAAUCAUUGGGCGUAAAGCGCGUGUAGGCGGUUCGGUAAGUCCGCUGUGAAAGUCGGGGGCCCAACCCUCGGAUGCCGGUGGAUACUGUCGGACUAGAGUACGGAAGAGGCGAGUGGAAUUCCUGGUGUAGCGGUGAAAUGCGCAGAUAUCAGGAGGAACACCGAUUGCGAAGGCAGCUCGCUGGGACGUUACUGACGCUGAGACGCGAAAGCGUGGGGAGCAAACAGG